UGUACUCUCUGGGUGAGCUUGU
rnacentral:piRNA from 1 species